rnacentral:rRNA from 1 species
AGGAUUAACGCUGGCGGCGUGCAUGAAACAUGCAAGUCGAGCGCGGUGUGAUGCGGGGUAACCCAAUUCACAUCUAGCGGCGAACGGGUGAGUAACACGUGAGCAACCUACCUUUGAGUUGGGGAUAGCCCUGGGAAACCAGGAUUAAUACCCGAUGUGGUCACAACAGGACAUCCUGAUGUGAGUAAAGGCGCAAGCCGCUCAAUGACGGGCUCGCGGCCUAUUAGCUUGUUGGUGGGGUAACGGCCUACCAAGGCGAUGAUGGGUAGCUGGUCUGAGAGGACGAUCAGCCACACUGGGACUGAGACACGGCCCAGACUCCUACGGGAGGCAGCAGUUAGGAAUUUUCCGCAAUGGGCGAAAGCCUGACGGAGCAACGCCGCGUGAGUGAUGAAGACCUUCGGGUUGUAAAGCUCUGUCGGAGGGGAAGAACACAAUGACGGUACCUCCAAGAAAGCCCGACUAACUACGUGCCAGCAGCCGCGGUAAUCUGA